rnacentral:tRNA from 1 species
CAAGAUUAAGCUUAAAUGAAGUUUUUUAUUUACAUUAAAAAGAUCCUGAGGGAAUCUUGU